rnacentral:rRNA from 1 species
GAUGAACGCUGGCGGCGUGCUUAACACAUGCAAGUCGAACGGAAAGGCUCCUGCUUGCAGUGGUACUCGAGUGGCGAACGGGUGAGUAACACGUGGGUGAUCUGCCCUGCACUUCGGGAUAAGCCUGGGAAACUGGGUCUAAUACCGGAUAGGACCACCUUUUGGAUGGUGUGGUGGAAAGUUUUUCGGUGUGGGAUGAGCUCGCGGCCUAUCAGCUUGUUGGUGGGGUAAUGGCCUACCAAGGCGUCGACGGGUAGCCGGCCUGAGAGGGGGUACGGCCACAUUGGGACUGUGAUACGGCCCAGACUCCUACGUGAGGCAGCAGUGGGGAAUAUUGGACAAUGGGCGCAAGCCUGAUGCAGCGACGCCGCGUGGGGGAUGACGGCCUUCGGGGUGUAAACUCCUUUCGCUAGGGACGAAGCGUUUUUGUGACGGUACCUGGAGAAGAAGCACCGGCUAACUACGUG